rnacentral:lncRNA from 1 species
AGCUGACCUACUGCACAGGUUCAGGCCCUGUGCACCCGAGGAAAGAUAGUGACAAAGGCCAUACCCUUGGAGAGAGGACUGAUGUCAGGCAGGUUCCUCGCCUGGGUUCUGCCCAGUGAUCUUGUGGACUUCAGGACAUGAGCCCAGUUUAUUUAAACCGUCUUGGAGCCUGUGUCCCUUUAUCCAAGAGGUCAUCAAACUUUAUCAUGUAAACUCCAUUGCAGGAUUAAUUUACAAACAAAGAACAAGCUGUACGAACUAUGGGUACUUCAGCCAGCAUCUCAAGGAUUGAGUCCCACUCACAGGCGCCCCCUUAGCCUUUGACAAGCUGUGAUAGCUUCAGGCAGAGAACUG